CAGUCGCCGCGGUAAUACGAAGGGGGCUAGCGUUGUUCGGAUUUACUGGGCGUAAAGGGCGCGUAGGCGGGCGAAUAAGUCAGGGGUGAAAUCCCAAGGCUCAACCUUGGAACUGCCUUUGAUACUGUUUGUCUUGAGUCCGGGAGAGGUGAGUGGAACUGCGAGUGUAGAGGUGAAAUUCGUAGAUAUUCGCAAGAACACCAGAGGCGAAGGCGGCUCACUGGCCCGGAACUGACGCUGAGGCGCGAAAGCGUGGGGAGCAAACAGGAUUAGAUACCCCUGUAGUCCCUGUCUCUUAUAC
rnacentral:rRNA from 1 species